CUGUGGGUGGCGAGUGGCGGACGGGUGAGGAAUACAUGGGAAUCUGCCCAGUCGUGGGGGAUAACGUAGGGAAACUUACGCUAAUACCGCAUGCGCCCUUCGGGGGAAAGCCGGGGACCUUCGGGCCUGGCGCGAUUGGAUGAGCCCAUGUCGGAUUAGCUAGUUGGCGGGGUAAAGGCCCACCAAGGCGACGAUCCGUAGCUGGUCUGAGAGGAUGAUCAGCCACACUGGAACUGAGACACGGUCCAGACUCCUACGGGAGGCAGCAGUAGGGAAUAUUGGACAAUGGGCGCAAGCCUGAUCCAGCCAUGCCGCGUGAGUGAAGAAGGCCCUCGGGUUGUAAAGCUCUUUUGUCCGGAAAGAAAAGCAUCGGGUUAAUACCCCGGUGUUCUGACGGUACCGGAAGAAUAAGCACCGGCUAACUUCGUGCCAGCAGCCGCGGUAAUACGAAGGGUGCAAGCGUUACUCGGAAUUACUGGGCGUAAAGCGUGCGUAGGUGGUUCGUUAAGUCCGAUGUGAAAGCCCUGGGCUCAACCUGGGAAUGGCAUUGGAUACUGGCGGGCUAGAGUGCGGUAGAG
rnacentral:rRNA from 1 species